rnacentral:rRNA from 1 species
UAGGGAAUCUUCGGCAAUGGGGGGAACCCUGACCGAGCAACGCCGCGUGAGUGAAGAAGGAUUUCGGUUCGUAAAACUCUGUUGUUAGAGAAGAACAGCGCAUAGAGUAACUGUUAUGCGUGUGACGGUAUCUAACCAGAAAGCCACGGCUAACUACGUGCCAGCAGCCGCGGUAAUACGUAGGUGGCAAGCGUUGUCCGGAUUUAUUGGGCGUAAAGCGAGCGCAGGCGGUCAAUUAAGUCUGAUGUGAAAGCCCCCGGCUCAACCGGGGAGGGUCAUUGGAAACGGGUUGACUUGAGUGCAGAAGAGGAGAGUGGAAUUCCAUGUGUAGCGGUGAAAUGCGUAGAUAUAUGGAGGAACACCAGUGGCGAAGGCGACUCUCUGGUCUGUAACUGACGCUGAGGCUCGAAAGCGUGGGUAGCAAACAGG